rnacentral:rRNA from 1 species
AUACGCGAAGAACCUCACCCAGGUUUGACAUGCAUGUGGUACCGAUCUGAAAGGUGAAGGACCCUUUCGGGGAGCAUGCACAGGUGUUGCACGGCCGUCGUCAGCUCGUGCCGUGAGGUGUUGGGUUAAGUCCCGCAACGAGCGCAACCCCUGUCGCCAGUUGUAUUUUUCUGGCGAGACUGCCGAGAAAACCUCGGAGGAAGGAGGGGACGAUGUCAGGUCAGCGUGGCCCUUACGCCUGGGGCUACACACACGCUACAAUGGGCAGUACAACGGGUCGCUAAGCCGCGAGGCGGAGCUAAUCCCAUCAAAGCUGUCCUCAGUUCGGAUUGCAGGCUGAAACCCGCCUGCAUGAAGCCGGAGUUGCUAGUAACCGCAGGUCAGCAUUACUGCGGUGAAUACGUUCCCGGGCCUUGUACACACCGCCCGUCACGUCAUGAAAGUUGGAAACACCUGAAGCCGGUGGGCUAACCGUAAGGAGGCAGCCGUCGAGGGUGGAGCCAGCGAUUGGGACGAAGUCGUAACAAGGUAGCCGUAGCGGAAGCUGCGGCUGGAACACCUCCUUCUAGACUGCAGAA